UAUCUCUGUAGAGUCUGCAUAUCAAUAAGCGGAGGAAAAGAAACUAACUAAGGAUUCCCCUUAGUAACGGCGAGUGAAGCGGGAAGAGCUCAAAUUUGAAAUCUUCAAGGGUUUACCUUUACGAAUUGUAGUUUAAAGAAGUGUUUUCUGUUGAGUGUUUUGGUAAAGUUCUUUGGAAUAGGACAUCAUAGAGGGUGAGAAUCCCGUAUUUGACCAUUACUUCCAGCGUUGUGAUACACUUUCAAAGAGUCGGAUUGUUUGGGAAUGCAGUUCAAAAUGGGUGGUAAAUUUCAUCUAAAGCUAAAUAUUGGCGAGAGACCGAUAGCGAACAAGUACCGUGAGGGAAAGAUGAAAAGAACUUUGAAAAGAGAGUUAAACAGUACGUGAAAUUGUCAAAAGGGAAGCGUUUGACACCAGUGUUGUUUUCUCGAAAAUCAAUUAAAAAAAGUUGGAUUUUGUAGUUGUUAAGACCUUAUCAGCUUACUGUACUCUUUUCUUGCUUUUUUUAAUGCACUUUUCGUUUAACAAGUCAACAUCAAUUUCUUUUGUUGUAAAAGAGUCAUUGGAAGGUGGCUUUCACUUCGGUGAAAGUGUUUAUAGCCUUUGGCUUCUGCAAUCGGAGAGAUUGAGGUCUGCAGCGUAGAUCCUUCGGGGCUAGAUACGUAGAUGCUAAGUUAUAGUUUUUUAUAGACAACUUGUUGACCAUAAUUAAUCAUGUAGCUUACUCGUUUGCGCUAUUUUACCUACGCUUAGGAUGUUGACGAUCAGCUGAGCGCG
rnacentral:rRNA from 1 species